rnacentral:rRNA from 1 species
AUUGAACGCUGGCGGCAGGCCUAACACAUGCAAGUCGAGCGAGCGGCGGACGGGUGAGUAAUGUAUGGGGAUCUGCCCGAUAGAGGGGGAUAACUACUGGAAACUGUAGCUAAUACCACAUACUAGCAGAUCAACCCAUAUGGGAUUAGCUGGUAUGUGGGGUAAAGGCUCACCACGGAGACGAUCUCUAGCUGGUCUGAGAGGAUGAUCAGCCACACUGGGACUGAGACACGGUCCAGACGCCUACGGGAGGCAGAAGUGGGGAAGAUUGCACAAUGGGCGAAAGCCGGAUGCAGCCAUGCCGCGUGGAUGAAGAAGGCCCUAGGGUUGUAAAGUACUUUCAGUGGGGAGGCGUUACCCGCAGAAGAAGCACCGGCUAACUCCGUGCCAGCAGCCGCGGUAAUUC